rnacentral:ncRNA from 1 species
GUAGUCUGCCAUACGCAGGAAGACCCGCUGAACUGAAGCAUCUCAUUAAGCGGAGGAAAAGAAACUAACUAGGAUUCCCUUAGUAAAGGCGAUCGAAAAGGGAACAGCCCAACGUCUUAAUCCCGCAAGGGAAAUGUAGUCGGUUCACCUAUUGCACUGGUCUAAGUCAGAUGGAAUGCUGCGCGAUUCAGAGUAAAAGCCUCGUAUGACCAACCGCAAGCUUACGAUGGACCGGGGAGAGUCGGAUACUUUGAGAGUAGUGUCUUAAGGGGGUGGUAUGUCCCAUCCAAGGCUAAAUAACGUGAGGAGACCGAUAGAUUACAAGUAGUGUGAACGAAAGAUGAAAAGAACUCUAAAACAGAGGGUGAAAAGUUCCUGAACUUGCUUAGGGUUAAGCUAUUUAUAGUACCCGUCUUGAAACACGGAUUAGGGAGUUUAUCUGUAGUUGCGAGUCUUUGCACGUUAA